AGUGAACAGAGUCACUGGGGACAUUCAGCUCUGUUGUGCAGCUGUCAUUUGCUAGUAAUGGGACGCAGUCACCAAGGAACCCCUUGAGUAUGUGUGCUGGGAGAAAACCGACAGAGGCGAAAGAGAGAAAAGAGAGAUUCAAACGAGUGAGCAAUAGUGAAGGCAAUAGAGGAGCAUUUGUAUGGUCUUCCUUGCCACUGAAGUAGUAAAAUGGAAACAUAUUUCUCCCCUGACAGCUACAGUAGAUCUAACCCUCUGAGUUGAGCUGCUUAUGAUGUUGUGUGGUGUUGAGGUGGACCCCAGGGGUGUCCCAAAGGCUUGUUGUUUCUUGUCAGAGAUUAGAUUGAACCAGGCGGCUGUGGUUCAUACUCAUGCCUGAGAGAAGCCAAGGCUCCCUGUCACCGAACACAACCUCUGAGCUUUGCUCUGUAGCACCGAAUCUAGAUGUAUUUCUUAUUGUAGAAUAAAGUUUGUUAUUUUAAAAAUAAGCUCCACCUUCUCUGGGGGUUUCCAUGCUGCUGAAUAUUUGCUCACUGCAGCACACUGUACACUGAUGCAUGACUGGCCACUGGGAAUGAAAAAGGGGAUUUAUUCACAUGUUUCUCAGCUGACAUUAUGUUUAUUUCUCACUUCACACAUUUUCUUAUUUUCCUACAGUUCCACUUUUUACAUAUUCAUUUCAUCAGCCCUUAAAAGAUCAGAUGGAGGGUUUUGCCAAGAGUCUGCAAAGAAUUGCCGUUAUGUCUGUUCACUGAAAGAAUUUGUAGAAUUCAUAUCAAAGUUGAGGCUUUGUAAAUUUGCGUUGCUUCAUUCCUUUGAAAAUGUGCCAAAAAAUAGGUUGAAAUAUCUCCAAGCAAGUUUUUUUUUUUUUUUUUUUUUUUCCUGAGUGUGUACCACAUAAAUUUGCCACCUAGAUAGAUGGAAAAGAAAGAGAAGCACUUUUUCUUCUUCCUGUCAGUCUCCUCCAUGCGUCUUAAACAUAGUAAUCUGACAAAGUAACCGAUUUUCCUUCAUCAUCUUGGGGAUUUUUGAUAACAAUUAGCGGUGUUACUGCAUCGAGAGGUUUAACAUUUCUUCAAUGGGUCUUCUUCCUCUUUUUUUCUUUUUCUUUUUUGUGUGGGCCACUAGUCCAUCUUCAUUUUGUGGUAAUCAAAUUUAUCUUCUCCUAUACUCCAUAUAAUAGAUUCAAUAUUUAUAAUUUUUAGGUUCUGAGUAUAGUACUCGUUUGGGUUUUGGGGAAUUGUAUUUCAUGAUUGCCUUCAGACUGUACUUAAGUAAAUUGCACUGUAAUUGUCUGGUAAUAGAGAUUUUUUUAGAAAUCACCCCCUCUCCAGCAAUAAUCAAUUUGAUGCAUGCUUGUCUGCUCUGUGAAGGAAGAGGUUAGCUGUCCCCGUUAGUUUUAGACAGAAGGUUUAAGCAGGGAUCCACUGAAGGCAUCUGUCAGUGAGGUAAAGAGCACUGACAGCCAUACAUCAUCUCUGCCUAGUGGAGGCCCCUGUAUUUAAAAGAGUACUGCAGUCAAAAGCCCAUAAAAGUGAGUGACUCCUCGGGAGCAUCUGCCACUGCAUGCAGGGAGGAGAUUCAAUGUGAAAAAGGGGAGAUAAUGUGCUCACUCACUAAUGGGCACCCGACUAGACACAGGCUCAUUUUUCACAUCAUGUCAUCUGUAAGGUUUGAAUAAAAGUAAUGGCCACAAUGAGCCUGGAUCUCUCCCAGUCAUUAUGGCUUUUGCUUCCUCACUUUUAUUUGUGUUGACUUGUACAGUCGGAGGAGAUGACAGUCUCUGGGCCUGUGGAUCAGUCAGAGUGAUGAUCUGCACUGCUCUCCUCUGCUG
ensembl:lncRNA